rnacentral:rRNA from 1 species
UACGAAGGGGGCUAGCGUUGCUCGGAAUCACUGGGCGUAAAGCGCGCGUAGGCGGCUUUCUAAGUCAGGGGUGAAAUCCUGGAGCUCAACUCCAGAACUGCCUUUGAUACUGGAGAGCUUGAGUCCGGAAGAGGUGAGUGGAACUCCGAGUGUAGAGGUGAAAUUCGUAGAUAUUGGAAAGAACACCAGUGGCGAAGGCGGCUCACUGGUCCGGUACUGGACGCUGAUGUGCGAAAAGCGUGGGGGAGCAAACAGGGAUUAA